rnacentral:lncRNA from 1 species
UUUAUCUGUCAACAACUUUGUUCAUUUUAAAGAAACGUGCUAAUGCAUGGGAGAAGAGUGCCAGUUGAUAGUUCUAUAAAACUUUAAAACUAUGGUAUUUUGGAAGAAAAGCUUGAAAUGCAACAUAUAGAUGUAAUCAACACAGUAAUAUUACCAAUUCUUUAAUAAGUGAUUUUUAGAGAGGUCGUAGACUACUUUUACAGUGGAAAAUGUAGUUUAGACAUGCAAAACUUGAAUGUUUACAUCAAUUUAUAUUGAACGUCACAGUUUCAUAGAAGGAAAGGUGAUUUGAGAUUUAAUCUAUAUUCCAAGGAGACAGAAUCUGAGUGGAAACUAAUAGACUUUGUGCUUAGUAGACCUAGUAUAAUAAGACUAUUUGUAAGAACUGAUAAACUUUUCCUACAUAUCAGAUUAUUAAACUUUAACAUUGUCAUUGUAUAGUCACUCAUCUGAGUUUUGUAUUUAAAAACAGGGUUUAACAUCACUCAUUGUAUUUACGCAUUCAUUGUUAUAAUAUUUAAUUACAUGUAAAUGUAUGCUCUACAUGAUAAAAAGUUUAUAAAAGUUAUUUAUGCUAUAUUGAAAGUCAUCUUAAGAAUCUCCCAGAUAUGUAGCAUAUUUAAAGUACUUAUAGGACCAAAGGAAAAGCACCUUUAUCAAAAUCUGGUCCUGUGUGCCUUGCUUUACCAAAUACCUGGCUUUUCUUGAGGAUAUUACUGUAAUUCACAAUUUUGGACACAUAGGCAAAAUUAGGAUGUUUGAAGAAUAACUAUAAUUCAAUGUUUUCAUUGUUUCAACAUUUGCUAUUUAAAUUCAUUAUCAGAAUAUUGAAAUAGGUAUAUUGUAUAAAUAUUAGUAAAUAGAAUUUAUUUAAAGAAAUUAUGGUACCAUUGCUCCAUCAUUGAACUUUUGAAACUUUAACAAUUGUAUAUAACUCUCAUUUUGAUUUUUUUCUUAUUAUAAGAUAUAAUUUACUGUGAUUUUUAAAAUGUUUUUUAAAUGACUUGGAUUCCGAAUUUGUCAUUAUAUGUAUUUCAUUUGUUUAAAAAGAUUCUUUUGGGUUUGGGGUUGUGAUUUGUAUAUUUAAAUCUUUUAUGGACAUAAUUCAAAAGAAUGUAUAAAUUGGUCUUUUGUUUAAAUGGCUUUUUAAUUG